rnacentral:piRNA from 1 species
UGGUAUCGUGGCUAAUUCCCAAGCGU